UGACUUCUUUGUGGGCAGGCACCACCAUGCAUGAGCCUGCCCACGCAGUAGUCAUG
ensembl:miRNA